rnacentral:rRNA from 1 species
ACGCACGCUGGCGGCGUGCUUAACACAUGCAAGUCGAACGGAAAGGCCCCUUUGGGGGUACUCGAGUGGCGAACGGGUGAGUAACACGUGAGUAACCUGCCCUUGACUUCGGGAUAACUUCAGGAAACUGGGGCUAAUACCGGCUAGGAAUCCUUGCUGCAUGGUGGGGGUUGGAAAGCUUCGGCGGUUUUGGAUGGACUCGCGGCUGAUCAGCUUGUUGGUGGGGUAGUGGCUUACCAAGGCUUUGACGGGUAGCCGGCCUGAGAGGGCGACCGGCCACAUUGGGACUGAGAUACGGCCCAGACUCCUACGGGAGGCAGCAGUGGGGAAUAUUGCACAAUGGGCGGAAGCCUGAUGCAGCAACGCCGCGUGCGGGAUGACGGCCUUCGGGUUGUAAACCGCUUUCAGCAGGGGCGAAGCUUGUGGUGACGGUACCUGCAGAAGAAGCACCGGCUAACUACGUG